AUACGGAGGAUGCAAGCGUUAUCCGGAUUUAUUGGGUUUAAAGGGUGCGUAGGCGGGACUGUCAGUCAGGGGUGCAAUACUGCAGCUUCACUGUAGCAUUGCCUUUGAAACUGCCGUUCUUGAGUACAGUUGAGGUAGGCGGAAUGUGGUGUGUCGCGGGGAAAUGCAUAGAUAUACCACAGAACGCCGAUUGCGAAGGCAGCUUACUAAGCUGUUACUGACGCUGAGGCACGAAAGCGUGGGGAUCAAACAGGAUUAGAUACCCUGGUAGUCCACGCUGUAAACGAUGAUUACUGGUUGUUAGCGAUAUAUAGCUAGUGACUGAGCGAAAGCAUUAAGUAAUCCACCUGGGGAGUACGUCGGCAACGAUGAAACUCAAAGGAAUUGACGGGG
rnacentral:rRNA from 1 species